ACGAACGCUGGCGGCGUGCCUAAUACAUGCAAGUCGAACGCUUUGAUUUUCACCGGAGCUUGCUCCACCGAAAAUCAAAGAGUGGCGGACGGGUGAGUAACACGUGGGCAACCUGCCCAACAGAGGGGGAUAACACUUGGAAACAGGUGCUAAUACCGCAUAAUUUGUUUUCCCGCAUGGGAGAAUAAUAAAAGACGCUUCGGUGUCACUGUUGGAUGGGCCCGCGCUGCAUUAGUUAGUUGGUGGGGUAAUGGCCUACCAAGACCGUGAUGCAUAGCCGACCUGAGAGGGUGAUCGGCCACACUGGGACUGAGACACGGCCCAGACUCCUACGGGAGGCAGCAGUAGGGAAUCUUCGGCAAUGGACGAAAGUCUGACCGAGCAACGCCGCGUGAGUGAAGAAGGUUUUCGGAUCGUAAAACUCUGUUGUUAGAGAAGAACAAGUGGGAGAGUAACUGUUCCCACCUUGACGGUAUCUAACCAGAAAGCCACGGCUAACUACGUGCCAGCAGCCGCGGUAAU
rnacentral:rRNA from 1 species